UAUUGCAUACUGAAUUAGGUGAGAAGGUUUGUGUGGUGGUCUAAAUGAGAAAUGUCACUUGCUCCUCAGUUGUCGGUGGCACUCUUAGGGAGAGCUGAACCUUUAGAAGGUGGAGCCUUGGUGGAGGAAGUAAGUCAUCGGGGACCCAACUUCCUGUUGUCUUAGCUUCCGGUGGUCACAGAGUCAGGCUGCUCUCACACACCUGCUGCCCUGCCUUCUGUGCUACAAUGGACCGUGCCUCUCAAACUGCAGAGUAUUUCACUGAACCUGGAGUAUAUGGAUUGGCCUAGGCUGGCUGAUGAAUGGUCUCCAGGGUUUACCCUGUCUCCAUUCCCACUCUUCUGCAAGCACUAGGGUUAACAAAAGAUGCAUACUGCCAUAUACCAGGAUUUUAUGCAGGUUGCAAAGACAAAUACAGUAAGUGUCUGCAGUGCAGCUUAGGUCUCUGGAGGAGAACCAUCUGACUAUGAAAGCAAAUGUGCUAGACAGCUACCAAAGCCUCGGGUGAGGAAAGUCAC